rnacentral:rRNA from 1 species
UACGUAGGGUGCGAGCGUUGUCCGGAAUUACUGGGCGUAAAGAGCUCGUAGGUGGUUUGUCGCGUUGUUCGUGAAAACCGGGGGCUUAACCCUCGGCGUGCGGGCGAUACGGGCAGACUGGAGUACUGCAGGGGAGACUGGAAUUCCUGGUGUAGCGGUGGAAUGCGCAGAUAUCAGGAGGAACAGCCGGUGGCGAAGGCGGGUCUCUGGGCAGUAACUGACGCUGAGGAGCGAAAGCGUGGGGAGCGAACAGG